GUGAAGUGGCGUGAAGUACGGCGUCGCAGCGCCGAGGUGCAUUAGUUUUGGAGUGUGUACAUAUAAAUGGCGGCUGACGCAAAAUGGUAUUUUACAAAAGAACAACUAGCGAAUUCGCCGAGCCGAAGAAGCGGUAUCGACGCCGAUAGAGAACUGAGUAAUAGGCAGCAGGCCGCAAAUUUCAUCCAGGAUAUGGGACAACGUUUAUCUGUUACUCAACUAUGCAUCAAUACAGCCAUCGUGUACAUGCAUCGAUUUUUUGUGUUCCACUCGUUAACACAGUUUCCACGGAACAAGAUAGCAGCAGCAGCCCUCUUCUUAGCGGCAAAGACAGAGGAGCAACCGCGGAAACUGGAACAUGUCAUCAAAUGUGCGCAUUUAUGUCUCCACAGAGAACAGGCGUCACUUGAUAUAAAGUCGGAUCAAUAUUUGGAGCAGGCUAAUGAGUUGGUGUCCAAUGAAAGUGCCCUCCUAAUGACCCUGGGUUUCGAACUUGCCAUUGACCACCCUCACACACACGUUGUUAGAUGUUGUCACCUAGUAAAAGCGAACAAGGACUUAGCCCAGACUUCAUACUUCAUGGCAUCUAACAGCUUACACCUAACAACUAUGUGUUUGCAGUAUAAACCCACUGUUGUUGCAUGUUUCUGCAUUCAUUUGGCUUGCAAGUGGUCUAAUUGGGAGAUACCUCAAAGCAAUGAAGGGAAACACUGGUUCUGGUAUAUCGACAAAACAGUCACGUCGGAACUCCUGCAAAAGUUAACAUCAGAAUUUCUUCACAUUUUCGAUAAAUGUCCCUCGAGGCUUAAAAGAAAAAUCAAAAGUAUAAAUGAUAACCAAAGUCCCAACAUGAGUCAUCCAAUGAUGAAUUCACCUUUCGAAUUGGAGCCGCGAAAAAUUCAGUCCCCAGCGGCAGAUGGAGGUCCCACUUUUGCCUCGAAUCGUUCUCAUCAUCCGCAAAAGCAUGACGAGAAAAAACCAACAAUGCCAGGUCGAUCGUCCGUUGAUUAUCGCGAAUAUCGCGAAAAGAAAGAACGAGAGCGACUCGAGAGGGAAAAAGCAAAUGCCGCAGGAUCAUCAUCAUCAUCAUCAACUGGUCAAAGUGUUACAGAUCCCAAUAAACAUCAUUCUUCACAUCAUCACAAACAACAAAUACCCGGUUCAAUGAUGCCAAACAAACAAGCUCCAACACCAAAUCAAAAAUCGGCACUUCAUCACAAUCAUCAUCACAGGCCCGAUAUGAAAAUGAAUCAAUCAAUGUCACAAAGGCACACAAGUAGUACAUCACAAACAACAAGGGACCCAAAUCGCGAUCCAAAUAGACAACAACGUGUUCCCCGUGAAUUUAACAGUGGAACAAGUGGCACGACUGGAUCAUUGUAUCAUCACAAUAUCACGCAAAAUGAUUCGAAUUUAAUUGCCUCUCAGCCUGAUCUUGCGGCAAGACUCGAGUCAGGAUUACCACAGGAAUCAGCAUCGCAACACACAAAUCCUCAAGACAAGUUGAGCAAUAAUAAUCACAAUGUACAUAGAGUAAGCUCGCAUGACAAGAGGUAUGAUCCGCGACACAAUAAACUUCCUGAACAUAGGAAAGAUGAUCAAAAACCCUAUUCUGAAUAUCGUGACAUGUCGUCGCGUGUUGAUCGUCAAAGGAAACCCGAUUCCCUUGAGCAAAGAAGUGAAGAAGUGCGUAAACUCAUUGAGAAACCAAUUCCACCACCUAAAUCAAGACAGGAAAUAACAAAAGACGAUUAUAUUGCGCAUAUGCUGAAACAAUCGCAUCAUUCCAAACAUAAUCAGUCUGAUAAGUUACAGGGUAAUUCGGGACAACAAAAUUUAUCGAUUCCAAUUACGUCACAGGUGCAACAACAGAAAUCAAUGACGAAACAACAGCAACAACCCAUGCCACAUCAUCUUCAUCAACAACAACAACAACAACACUCGAUGUCGGGAAUGCAACAGUUCAUCAAAGAAUCAAUCAAGAAUGGAAGUUCACAAUCAUCAAGUUCAAUGAGCAAUGUUGAGGAUCCUAAAGCUGAGAAAAGGCCACGACACGAUGAUAAUAGAGUCAUGCUUGAACAACAGAACGUAGCGCCUGUUAAACCUAAAUCUCUAUUCAGUCCCGAGAAAGUUCAAAGAGAUACAUCACGCGACUCUCAUCAACGAUCCAAGUCGCGACAAAAAACUCCACCAGUGUCAAAAAUGGCGAAACAACCUGCACCUCUAGAUUUACCGGCAACUCUUAUAUCACCAUUUUCAAGUCCACCUGUUUUACAGCAACACGAUUCACUUAAGCGGCCACCAACAGAGCUUGCGAAUUCCUCAUCGCAUAAACGACAUCGGGGCAUGAGUGAAUUCGAACAAACAACAACAACAACAUCGGCUCAAGAUGCAUUAUCCUCUGUUUUUAAUGCAACCAAUAAUAUAACAGGACUUCUUCAACCAAUAAAUGAAAUGCCAUCAAGAAGUUCAUUCAUGAAUGACAACACAAAAAUGCCCGAAUUAAUAAGACCUUUUGAACCAGAGUCCACUUUAACUCAUCGAACUUCUCUUGGUCCAUUAACAAAUGGCGUUGAAAGUCGAUUAUUAAGGCAAGAAUUUUCCGAGGCACAAGAAUUCAAGCCCACCAUUGAACAGAACACAUUUAAAGUCACUCAAGAAUUUAAGGCAACACAAGAUUUUAAAUCAUCUCAGGAUUAUAAACCUGUUCAAGAUUAUAAAUCUAUUCCAGAAUUUAAACAUGAGUAUAAGCAUGAGGUACCGAAGGUUCACGACUUUCCAAAGAAUAUUUUUGAUUUCAAAGAUGGAAUGGAAUUCCCACGAGCUACAGUUCAAUUGCAGAGGCUUACCGAUUAUCCAAAAAUGAAAAUUGAAACAUCAAAAACUAUACAACCCGAGUGUUCAAAGAAUAAUCCAGCAGAUUUCGUGAGACAAGAACUUCAAGAAUUUCUCGUAACUCAAGAACCACAAGAAUUUCCCAUUGAACCAAUUAUCGAUAACAAGAAAAAGAAUACAGCUGAACCAUUGGAGGAAUUUUCUCGUACCAAAUCAGCACAGAGUAUCAGUGCAUUACUUCAAGAGCCCUUAGCACCAAUGCCUUCGCUUCUUCAACAAUUUAAUCAACCCCCACAACAGCAACAACAACAACAACAACCAACGCAGGAAUAUCCACCAACUUUGUCAGCAAUUUUACCAUCCGAACAGCAAAUGACACAAGAGCCACUUGUCUCAACUGUCGAUAUGGGCGCACUAUCCGGUUCCACUAUCGAUUCAACACUAUCAACUCUCUCCACAUCGAGUAUUGUUCCUCCCAUUAUUCCAAUUCUUGUUGCCGAGGAGAAAAAAUCUGAACACACACAUAAAAGUGAAAAGAAAAAGAAGGAGAAGAAACAUAAACACAAAGACAAAGAGAAGAGUAAAGAAAAGCACAAACACAAGCACAAGGACAAGGAUAAAGAGAAACAUCGCGAUAAGGAUAAGAGAAAAAUUGAGGGUGAAAAUAUUCCCGCCGAACCAAUUAAAAUCACUAUUCCCAAGGAUAAAAUUAAUUUAACCAGCGAAUCACUUGGUACUGUUGAUAAAUUGAAAUCACCACCUGGUAAAAUUAAAAUCAAAAUUGCCAAAGAACGAAUAAAGGUCGCUCAAUCGAUUCCCCCUCCGAUAAUUCAACCACUUCAGGGUCCAUUAAAAAUCAAGAUUCGCACCGAUGUUAUUUCUAGAGGUGAGCACGAUACAAGAAAACGUGAACGUAGCGAUGGUCAUGAGAAUCCAACAACAAGUGGACCACCAAGUAAAAGACAACAACAACAACAACAACAACAACAGCAGCAGCAGCAGCAGAUCGUCAAUAAUCCUGCUCUCGUCCAACAGCAACGUUCCAACGAGAGACAGAAUGGAAGGCACUAUAACUCCGGCAGUAAUAAUAAGGAGAAGCACUCGUCGAGUCAUCACAAGAGUUCACAUAAGUUAUCACAACAGUCGUCGUAGUGGAAAUCCUAGAUAGGUUAAUAGAAAAAAAAAAAUUAUCAAUUCUUUCUCAAUUAUAGAGAAUGAUUUGAAAAAACAAAGAAAAAAAAAAUUGUACAAAGAAAUUCGCCGUUAACUUAUGCCCGAGACAAAAAGCUAAAGGUCGUCAUUGUUCCGCGAUCAAUCGAAUUAUACUAUUGCUAAAUUUAGUAUAAUAACGAUAAUAUCAUUGAAAACAUUAUUCUCAGACUGUAAAUAAAAUUAUUUUGUAUGCCAAAAUAAACCAAAUGGAUAUGACUACGACACGAUGUGACACGUACACGUGAGGAUUAAACGAGAAAUAUAAUAGAAAAUAUUGUAAUUAUUAAUUAAUUAAUUAUUAUUAUUAUUAUUAAUUGUGUAGACACGCGCAUUACACACUCGUGUUAAUUAACACACUUUCAGAAAAAAAAAAUAAUUAAAAAAAAAAAUAAAUAAAUAAAACUUGAACCGAUUUUAGAGAAUCCACGAGGACGAAAAGAGAUUCUUAAAAAUUUUUUAAUAUCAUGACUUAAUAAUAUUUUGUGCGCAUUUAAAGAUUGUCAAAAGAUUUUAAUAUUUUUUUUAAAUUAUCGUUUUUUGAAUUCAAAAAAAGAAACCAUGUAUGUGAAAUUGUCAGCCUAUACGUCAAUCUUAUUUCUCGAUAAAAGAAAUAUCACGUGAAACAUUAUUUUCGAUAAGAAUUUUCAUUUCAGAUAACAAAAACAAUGAAAACAAUAAAAACAAAAAACCUUUUGCCCUAAAUGCAAAAGUUUUAAAAAAUGAAAGUUCUGUUUUAAAUGUGUAAAAUUUGUUACUUAUUGAAGUGAAAACAAAACUCUCGUUAAGAAUAGAAUUUUAAAUUUCUAUUUGUGAAACAAAAAUAUUGUUUAAAUAUUUGAAAUGAAAAUUUUUAUUGAAUCUAUUUGUAAUUAGUUGUACUUAUUGUAAAAUUGAUUUGGAAGAUCCUUAGCCACUUAACGAUACUUCUCUUGUGAAAUAUUUUAAUUUUUUUUUUCGUUACAUAUAUUUGGUAAAAGAAAAAUUAAAAUAUAUAUUAAUUAAGGGAAGACUAAAUGUUUCUAUGUUUUUAUGGAUAUAUAUUUAAAAGUAGAAAAUAUAAGAAUCACGAUUUAUUAGUAAAUCGAUUUUUGGUGCAAUGGUUGUGAAGACUUGAAUUUUUGUGUGCGUCUGAGAUUUAAAAAUAUAUAUAUAAAAAAAAACCAAAAAAAAAGAAAAUGAAAAAAAAUUUAUUAAUUAUUAAAUAUGUAUUUUAACAAUUUUUAAUUGUUUUUAAUUUACGGCUAAGAAUCUUUUCAAAACAAAAUAAAAAAAUAUAUAUUGCUCAUAGUGAAGCAGAAUGAAAAUUUUCGUAAAUAUGAAAAUAAAUAUUAUUUUAAAAUGACCAAUUUGGUGAAGAUUUUUGACUUUAUCAAAUAAAUAAAAAAUCUCUUUUGUUGAUGCGAUAAGAGACUGGUCAUUAUUUGCAGCUAUUUAAUUAGUUUUUUCAUGUAAUUAAAAAUCCUCAUUAAAUUAUUAUCAUUGUUAGUCCAUGAAAAAUGUAUUUAAAAUAUAUUUACGAACAUAACGUAAUAAUUGUACGUUAAGGGCAGAUCAAAGUUAAUGCAACUUUGACCUACCCUUAAAAAAAAAAAAAAAUGAAAAAAAAAUUGUUCGGUGAUUUUAUUUUUUCGAAUCUCUAUUUAUCAGUAAUUGUUGUAAAAAAAAUGUGUAAAAUCUGAAGAAAGAGAUUUGAAAAAGUAAAAGUUUGUUUUCUAAACUUAUGUCGCUACGUUUUAAAUAGUUUUUCCUUUUAACAUAUUAUGUUUCAAUUGUCAUGAAACUUUAAGUAUUUUUGACAUGAGAAGAUCUUCAUUACUUACACAUAAACACACACGCCUCGUUGGAUUUUCAUCAAACGACUCAAGAAUAUAAAAAUAAAAAAAAAAAACUUAUAAGUUUUUCGUUCUCUCAUGUUACUAACGUCUAUUUGUGCCGUUAUGUACCUGUAAAUAUCAAUAAAACGACGAUAUACUCAAGCGAAAAAAAAUGUCUCUUUACUGUGUGUUAAACGUUUAAACACAUUUAUCCAGAGAAACUUUUUUCAAUUGAAUUUGUUAAAUGUUGCUAAAAAAACAAAAUUUUUGUUUUUUUGCAUUAUUUUCCGCGUCAAAAAAAAUUUGUAAUAAUAUUUAUAGGUAAUUGAUAUCAUUUUUAAUUUAACACGACUAUUGUUUGAAUAAUCAAUUAUUAUUAUUAUAAAUUGUUCGAUACGUAUAAUUGUAAAUGGAAGUUAAAUUAUUAUCUAUUUGUAUAUAUUAUUUUUAUAAAAAUUGUAAUAAUAAAAUUAUUUUGCACAUUAUUUUUACAACCAAA